AUUUAACCCCGACAGGAACGAUAUCCUUUGCUUGCCUUCUUUAGGCGAGUAAAGAUAAAGAGUAUGGCGGGAACUAAU
rnacentral:sRNA from 2 species